rnacentral:lncRNA from 1 species
CAUUAGAACCGGACAGAUCAAAUGGGUCGAAAUUGGACAGCAACAAUGCAUUGUAAUUUAACAGGAACAAGUCGCGUUGAAAUUGGACAACAACAAUGCGUUGGACAUGGAUACUUAGAUGUCUGAAUUUGGACGUCUAGAAUGCUUGAGCUAGAACUUGAGCACCUUGUGUUUCGAACAUCCGAUAACAUAAACGCCUGGUAAAGUGGUCGCCUAGACUUAACGUCUAGAGACCUCGUGGCCUGGAUUACAUGUUCUGGUUCAUCACUUAGGAUAUGCUUUCAAAACUUGCAAAACAUAAACUAGUGAAGAUAAAUUGUUGAGUCGCGAAUCAUGCUUUCUCUUUAAGAUGUUUCAUGACUCUGCUCAAAGUGCAAACAGUUCAUAUGAUGUCACGACACCACCAAGAUAAAACAGCCAAAACUCAAUCCAAACUGCAUUGCAACCGAUUGGAAUACCAACAAUAUUUUAUUAUGCUCGAAAAAUAAAUAACAAAUAGGGGAAAGAUUGAG